rnacentral:tRNA from 1 species
GGAGAGGUGGCCGAGUGGUCGAAGGCACCAGAUUGCUAAUCUGGCGUACUGGCAACGGUACCGAGGGUUCGAAUCCCUCCCUCUCCG